AUUUCAGAAGAUGGAACCAUUUGUUGUGUUUCCUUCUUCACUCUACUAGCUCCAGUGAAUAGAUUAUAUCACUAUCAAGGCACCCUUGGAAACGCGAUGCUACAUCUCAAUGGGAUUUUCCAGUACAAAGAUUCUUUUCAAAUAACAUAAUUGUGGAUACACACCAUUCCUACAGAGAUUAUACAUAAUUCUGUCAGUCAGAAAAAUACUACAACAGCCAGAUACAACAGAGGACGAAGACUUGGACAGAGUGCAAAUUUCUGCUACAUGGACAAAAAAAUUACCUGGAACAAUAACACCAGCAACAACAAAAAUAGAUCCUAGAAUAACACAACAUUCUUUAUUUUAAAUAUUAAGAAUCUCUUAGUGCCUGGGUCACUCAGUAAAUAUUAGUGCAUAAUAAAAUUGGCUUAAUGAAUGAGUAGUGCAAAAAUCACAAAAUGCAUUUCUUCUGUAGCCCUUGGAUGAAAACAUACUUAUUAAGACUUCUGCUUGAAAAAAAAAAAAAAACUUACAUUCUUUUAUUUAUCCCCUCAACCAAGUAGUUUCCAGCAUGUACUCCAAAACCAAAUUGUUAAUAUUAUUUUUAAUGAAUGUUUUUCUUACUGGGUUUAAAGAAUAAAUCAAAUUUAUAGACACCUCAAAGCUAUCCAAAAAUAUUUGUCCUUGAAUUGCUGAGGUGUGAGCAAUGUAAUCAUCUUUUGACAUCUUCACUUACUUCCCAAGGUGUAAUGUUGUCCUUUUUCAUUUUAGUGAUGAAUAUUCGAUGUAUAUGAUGGGAGGGUCAACUUGAAUUUUUUUAAUGAUAAAAAAAUACAAAGUACCAUUGGCAAAACCAUUUUAUCUUUUCAAAACUGUGGCACAAUAGAUAGAAUAUUUCAAUGGGAAGAUGUUAGCUUAAAGUGUGCAUUGUUUGGAAAAGGAGUUAAUUAACAACUUAUUAAUUGGAUAGAAAAUCUGAAACUGUUGUACUUCUAGCAAAUACAUAAUUUUCUUCAAGUAUUAUUAAAGCGUUUUUGUUGUACCUAUUAAAGAUUCUUGUCUCUAAGUUAAUUUCAUUAUGCUAAUAAGCUAUCAUCGUUACAGAACCUAAGCUUUGAUCCAUGUUAAUUGUCGUGAUCUUCAAAGACAAAGUCACCACUUACUUUAAAUGAAUUUUACAUCUUUUUAAAGAAUCACACGGAAAUUAGGGGAAGUAAUUAAUUUUUUAUUAUGUGUCUCAAUAUUUUUAAGGGAGGAAGUCAAUGGUAUUGGCUAGAAUUCAUUUUAACAUUUAACUAGGGAAAACAGCAUGAGGCAAAAAAACCGUUCAGAUGCAAAAGAUUAAAGAAAAUUUGAAACUGGGACCUAAUUUGUCUUGAUAAACUUUGGUGUUUAAUAUGCUUCUUUUGUUCUCAGUGUGAAACUGCAGGGUUUUGAUUUGUAAAAACUUUUUGAAGAAUUAAUUCUUUCUAAUUUUUAUUCAUUUCUUUGCCUUUUCUUUACAGUAAGACAGACAUGUUGACCUUCAAACCAUAAUACUUUUAAAUAUCUAUGAACUUACAAGGUUAAAUCUAUUAGUGCUCUAAUAUUGCUAUUGUAUACUCACAGUGUAUGUUUCUUCUGAUGCAGAUAAGACCUAGUUAUUCCCAUAUUACAGCUAGUUACUUGAACCUUAUGAGGUUUAAACAAAUAAUGCUAUUUAAUUAUUUGCAUUUCUCUGUAUAACCAAAGAAGGUCAAGUUUGGAAAUAUUAACUGUUUCAUUUCAUUAAAAAUUUUUUGUAUGAACAUAAAAAACACUUUAAGAGCGUUUAUGAAGUGGUUAACUAUUCACUGCGUCCCUUUUAGAACCAGAGUGAUUUGUCAAUUAGAGGAAUUCUUUAAAGCCACUGUCAAACUAGAUCAAAAUCUGGAUCAAAAAUGAGAAAGGCAAAAGCAUUAUUGGGUAUAUUUUGCCUUAAUCAUUCAGAGACAAGGCGUUAACUUUCAAAUUUAUA